rnacentral:rRNA from 1 species
AAUCCCAUAAAACCGAUCGUAGUCCGGAUCGCAGUCUGCAACUCGACUGCGUGAAGUCGGAAUCGCUAGUAAUCGUGAAUCAGAAUGUCACGGUGAAUACGUUCCCGGGCCUUGUACACACCGCCCGUCACACCAUGGGAGUGGGUUGCUCCAGAAGUAGCUAGUCUAACCGCAAGGGGGACGGUUACCACGGAGUGAUUCAUGACUGGGGUGAAGUCGUAACAAGGUAGCCGUAGGGGAACCUGCGGCUGGAUCACCUCCUUAAUCGAAGA